UACGUAGGGUGCGAGCGUUAAUCGGAAUUACUGGGCGUAAAGCGUGCGCAGGCGGUUCGUUAAGUCAGCUGUGAAAGCCCCGGGCUUAACCUGGGAAUGGCGGUUGAAACUGGCGAACUUGAAUCUGGCAGAGGGGGGUGGAAUUCCGCGUGUAGCAGUGAAAUGCGUAGAUAUGCGGAGGAACACCGAUGGCGAAGGCAAUCCCCUGGGCCUGCACUGACGCUCAUGCACGAAAGCGUGGGGAGCAAACAGG
rnacentral:rRNA from 1 species